UACAGAGGGUGCUAGCGUUGCUCGGAAUCACUGGGCGUAAAGCGCACGUAGGCGGCUUUUUAAGUCAGGGGUGAAAUCCUGGAGCUCAACUCCAGAACUGCCUUUGAUACUGGAGAGCUUGAGUCCGGGAGAGGUGAGUGGAACUCCGAGUGUAGAGGUGAAAUUCGUAGAUAUUCGGAAGAACACCAGUGGCGAAGGCGGCUCACUGGCCCGGUACUGACGCUGAGGUGCGAAAGCGUGGGGAGCAAACAGG
rnacentral:rRNA from 1 species